GUCUGAGGUAAGACAUCCAAGAAGGAACUGGCCCAUGGAGAAAAGGCAAACACUUUUUGGCCUUUGCUUCCUGAUUCAUAAAUAUGAGGAAACUGAGGCAAGCAGAGAUACAUGGCUUAUCUAGGUCACCUAGAUAGUAAGUGCCAGAGGCCAGAGUUGAACUCAGGAAGAUGAAUCUAGGCCUGGUGCAGGAUCCACUGAGCUAUCUAGCUGCCAGUGCAUUGUAGUAGGUGACUAAUAAAUGCUUGUAUCCUACUUUCUUGUGGCUG
rnacentral:lncRNA from 1 species